UUGAAAUAUAUUACAAUUAAGCUGCUAACUUAAUUUUUAGUGAUUAAAUUCAUUAAUAUUUCUUA
rnacentral:tRNA from 1 species